rnacentral:lncRNA from 1 species
UCCAAGAAAGGCAACGAUGCCAUCUUCGUCGUCAUCGACAAGUUGACCAAGGUUUCUCAUUUCCUACCGGUCAAAAAGUAUAUCUCGGCAGCUCAGCUGGCAGAGUUGUAUACGUCAAGGAUAGUCUCGUCGCACUGUGUUCCUAUGCUCAUUUCUUCAUAUUGUGGAAGCAUCUUUACUUCCAAGUUUUGGGAUUCAUUUUAGUAUGUGAUGGGUACUAAGACUCGAUUCACUACAGCUUUCCAUCCUCAAACAAGUGGGCAAGUUGAGAGAGUCAAUCAGAUCCUUGAGGAUAUGCUCAGAGCCUGUGUGAUUUCUUUUGGCAUGAAGUGGGAAGACUACCUACCAUUUUCCGAGUUCUCAUAGCACAACAACUUUCAGGCAAGCUUAGGCAAGGCUCCAUCCGAGAUUCUUUAUGGCAGGAAGUGUCAUACCCCGCUUAAUUGGUCAGAGACUGGUGAGCAUCAGAUUCUUGGGAAUGACAUGAUUGCUGAAGCAGAAGAAAUGUGUCGUGUCAUUCGGGAUAAUCUCAAAGUAGCGCAGUCCUGUCAGAAGAGAUACUACGAUAGUAAGCAUCAUGACAUGACUUUAUAGCUUGAUGAUUUUGUGUAUCUGAAAGUGUCUACCAUGAAGGGCACUCAACGCUUCGGCAUCAAAGGACAGCUUGCUCCUCUUUGGUUGGUCCUUUCAGAAUUGUUUGCAAGAGAGGCGAUCUUGCAUAUCAGUUAGAGCUUCCUUCCAACUUCUCAAAUGUGCAUGAUGUGUUUCAUGUCUCUCAGCUCUGGAGAUGCUUCAAGACUCCCGAGCGCACAAUUGAUCUCGAGGAUAUCGACCUCCAGCCCGACCUAUCCUACCAUGAGCAUCCAGUUGCAGUUCUUGAAGCGAUUGAGUGCAAGACCCGCAGUAAGUCAAUCAAGUUCCUCAAAGUGCAAUUGUCACAUCACUCAGACAAAGAAGCCACUUGGGAGCGCGAGGACCACCUUCGUUCUGAAUUCCCAGAGUUCUUCCAGUCCUAGAUCUCGGGUCGAGAUCCUCUUGUAGUGUGGGAGAGUUGUAACAGCCCAAGUGCUUUUUUACCCUUUUGUAAUCCUUUCCAUAUGUGGCAACUAUGUUAAGGCAAUGUUAUGGAGUUGAGGGUGUAGCCUUGUCAUUUCAUGUGAAUCUCAUGUAUCAUGCAUAUCUUGCUUCUUUUCCUUUUGCUUGUUUGCAUGAUCUCGUGUGUUGUGUCACCUUGAUGAUCAUGUGGUGAGUGUGUUUAUGAUCUUGUGCAUGGGAGUGGGGGCAGCAAGCUAUUCAAAACCUUUUAGCACUUUGGUUCAAACCCCUUUCUACUUAAUAGGUGAAUCUUGUGUUUUUCAACUUGUUUUAAAAAUUCCAAUAAAAUGUCCCACCUCUCCUCUCUAUUUUUGUGAGUGGCUGACAAAUAAGUGGUAGGCAACGAGACAUAAUGAAAGAAACGAGACAACUAACCUGUCAAUGAUAGUAAUGGUAUCUAGGGAAAUGUUCAUCUCGCGUGUGAUCCCGCCUGGAUUAAGAAUGAAUCUGUGAAGCAGACGAACCGACGUAGUCGUACGAAUCCUCACACUCCGAAGCGGUUCGGAACUCUAUCGAGACGAAGCAAACCAGAAAAAAAAUCAACACAUAAUAUUAACCAUGGUACAUGCACUAUAUGAUGCACAACAUAAUAUGAUCCAUAUCCAUUUCAGUUAUGCAAGGCAUGGCAUGGCAAUUCACAACAAUCACACACUACACAUUAAGUAAACUCAAUAUGCAACGAGUUGCAUAUUGACGAAACUCCACAUUUUAAUUAGUUAGUUCACUCCUAUUCAGGUACAUGGGAUAAUAAAUGUUGUUUAAACAUGGCAAGAGGUGAAGCACAAAUAAACUACCUAUCUAGGCAUUUUAAAUGAGGUCGGAAACGACAUAUAUCAUUUCUGAAAUGACCCCACACGUUAACUUCGAAUCUGUCCAGAUCUGUCAUAAACACCUUUUAUGUUUGUUAAACGGCAAAAUAAAGUGGAGCGUGUGAUUAUACACGUUAUUCUAGUCGACUUACAUAUAUAGCUCAACUUCAAUGGAGUUACAGUCUAAAAGAUACUUGCGACACAUGAUGUUAUGUCAUGAAUGCAACAUGCAUGGAAUGACAACCACGACAUGUCUCUGUUCUAACAACUCAUGUCGGUGCAAAAGAAUAAAUGUGCGGAUGUGCGGAAUAAUCAAAAAAAAUGUCGGGGAAUAAAUAUUUGGGCACCCUGGGAAUUGACCCCAAGACCUCCUGGAUGUGGAUCAACAGGAUAACAAGUGUGACAUGUACAUGCAAGUGAUUACAAAGGGUCGUGGCUGUAGAUAAAAUAGAUGCACUACUUGAUACUCUGAAAAUACAAAUAAUGAAGAAGUAAAAAUGUGCAUUCGUGGGGAUUUCAUCCGAAGACCUCCAGGAUGUAGCACUGCUAUCCUAACCAUCUCGGCUAACAGACUAUUUACGGAGGAUAUCAGCGGCGACAGAAUAUAACAUCACCUUGUCAAAAUGGAUCUAGGACAAAAUUGAAUUUCAGUUACAUAGGAGCUUGCUCACAUUGGGGAAGAAGAGAGGCCGGAGGCCAUGUAGAAGAGAAGCUGAGAGGGACGGGGUUUUGACGGAUCCGGACAUGGGGAUCGAGGCCGGAGGUCGGGCAUGGGGUACCGGACCCAUUCGUUGUGGCAGCUAGCUCCGGUACGAUGCGUACAUGAAACGAACCCCUGCUCUAUUAGUUCCUGAUUUCUUACGAAAAGAGAGAGACAACAGAGGUUAGAGAGGCAGAGGGAAAAUGGAGAGAGGAGAAGAGAGGGCAAGGUGGAGGCACGGCCAGGACCUGCUACGCUCCUGUGUUGCGCUCGCCGGCAUGGUGGUGAGGCAGCAGAUCGGGGGGGGGAGGCAGAGCUCCACGGCAACGACCAUGGCUCCUGUAGCUGCGAAAAAACAAAGAGGGAGAGCUCUGAGAGAGAGCAAGAAAAACGAGAGCAGGAAGGAGGAAGAGAGAGAGAGAGGAGCGGGGGAGCUCCGACAUGGGACAAUGGGCAUCUCCGUCGAGGCUCGAGGCGCUACUGCUCCAAAAAAUGAUGACUGUACCU